rnacentral:lncRNA from 1 species
CUACUAGUUCAUAUAGUCAAUUUAUUAUAAAUUUUCAUAUGAACAAACUUGAUUGUGCUAUACCCAAACUAGUCAACAUAUUAGCCACUAUGGAGGAAGUCUUGAAGAGUUCAAUGGGCACUGUUCUCACUGUGGAGCAGACUUCUUCGAUCAAGAGAAAGUCUGGUUGGAAGAAGAAGAAUAAAUUCACUAAGAAGCAGAAGAAAGAGAGCAAGCCAAAGA